rnacentral:rRNA from 1 species
GACGAAUGCUGGCGGCGUGCUUAACACAUGCAAGUCGAACGGUGAACAGGAGCUUGCUCCUGGGAUCAGUGGCGAACGGGUGAGUAACACGUGGGCAACCUGCCCCUCACUCUGGGAUAACUCCGGGAAACCGGGGCUAAUACCGGAUACGACCUGGAGCGACAUCUCUCCAGGUGGAAAGAACUGCGGUGAGGGAUGGGCCCGCGGCCUAUCAGCUAGUUGGUGGGGUAACGGCCUACCAAGGCGACGAGGGGUAGCCGGCCUGAGAGGGCGACGCGCCACACGGGGAAUGAGGACCGGCCCAGACCCCUACGGGAGGCAGCAGUGGGGAAUAUUGCGCAAUGGGCGAAAGCCUGACGCAGCGAAGCCGCGUGAGGGACGACGGCCUUCGGGUUGUAAACCUCUUUCAGCAGGGACGAAGCGAAAGUGACGGUACCUGCAGAAGAAGCACCGGCUAACUACGUGCCAGCCGCCGCGGUAAGAC